ACUCCUACGGGAGGCAGCAGUAGGGAAUCUUCCGCAAUGGGCGAAAGCCUGACGGAGCAACGCCGCGUGAGUGAUGAAGGUUUUCGGAUCGUAAAGCUCUGUUGCCAGGGAAGAACGUCUUGUAGAGUAACUGCUACAAGAGUGACGGUACCUGAGAAGAAAGCCCCGGCUAACUACGUGCCAGCAGCCGCGGUAAU
rnacentral:rRNA from 1 species